rnacentral:rRNA from 1 species
AUUGAACGCUGGCGGCAUGCUUUACACAUGCAAGUCGAACGGUAACAGCACUUCGGUGGCUGACGAGUGGCGAACGGGUGAGUAAUACAUCGGAACGUGCCUAGUAGUGGGGGAUAACUACUCGAAAGAGUAGCUAAUACCGCAUGAGAUCUAAGGAUGAAAGCAGGGGACCUUCGGGCCUUGCGCUACUAGAGCGGCUGAUGGCAGAUUAGGUAGUUGGUGGGAUAAAAGCUUACCAAGCCGACGAUCUGUAGCUGGCCUGAGAGGACGACCAGCCACACUGGGACUGAGACACGGCCCAGACUCCUACGGGAGGCAGCAGUGGGGAAUUUUGGACAAUGGGCGCAAGCCUGAUCCAGCAAUGCCGCGUGCAGGAUGAAGGCCUUCGGGUUGUAAACUGCUUUUGUACGGAACGAAAAGCCCUCUUCUAAUACAGGAGGGUCAUGACGGUACCGUAAGAAUAAGCACCGGCUAACUACGUG